rnacentral:rRNA from 1 species
GUGCCAGCCGCCGCGGUAAUACAGAGGGUGCAAGCGUUAAUCGGAUUUACUGGGCGUAAAGCGUGCGUAGGCGGUUCAUUAAGUCGGUUGUGAAAUCCCUGGGCUUAACCUGGGAACUGCAGUCGAUACUGGUGGACUAGAGUACGGUAGAGGGUGGCGGAACUCCGGGUGUAGCGGUGAAAUGCGUAGAUAUCCGGAAGAACACCGAUGGCGAAGGCAACCACCUGGGCCUGUACUGACGCUGAGGUACGAAAGCGUGGGGAGCAAACAGGAUUAGAAACCCGCGUAGUCC